rnacentral:rRNA from 1 species
CACAUGGCUUUUGUUUGAAAGAUGGCUUUGGCUAUCACUCUGGGAUGGACCUGCGGUGCAUUAGCUAGUUGGUAAGGUAACGGCUUACCAAGGCGAUGAUGCAUAGCCGAGUUGAGAGACUGAUCGGCCACAAUGGAACUGAGACACGGUCCAUACUCCUACGGGAGGCAGCAGUAGGGAAUCUUCCACAAUGGGCGCAAGCCUGAUGGAGCAACACCGCGUGAGUGAAGAAGGGUUUCGGCUCGUAAAGCUCUGUUGUUGGAGAAGAACGUGCGUGAGAUUAACUGUUCACGCAGUGACGGUAUCCAACCAGAAAGUCACGGCUAACUACGUGCCAGCAGCCGCGGUAAUACGUAGGUGGCAAGCGUUAUCCGGAUUUAUUGGGCGUAAAGCGAGCGCAGGCGGUUGCUUAGGUCUGAUGUGAAA